CUUUUCCUUGCCCUAACGCUCUUGGUGACCCUGCUGCUCCACUCUGAGUGGGGAGCUUGGCUCCAAGUGGUCUGUCAUGGGCACAGAAGGGAAGUCUUUGACGUAGGGAGCCAAUCAGAUUUUCCAUCUCGGCACUGAGGAAUAAGAUCUUAGUAAACUGACCAGGUGUGCGGCUGUAUUCAGAAAACUGAAGCGGGAGGAGAGGUGACCCAGACAGCACCCCGCCCCGCCCCCAACACACACACUGGAGGUGAGGUGGGAGGAUCCCAAGACAGGAAGUAGGAAAGUAGUGGGAUGGGAGGCAGAGAUGGAGCGUGAGGUACUUAGAAAUAAACUUGUGGGAAGCGGAGAGCCAGUCGCUGUUUGUGAGGGCUGUGGUGGCUGCCUAGAGAAGGGCCACUGAGUUCCUGGUCACUCAGGCAUUAAAGGCCAAAUGCCACACAAGCGUCUGCUUGUGCACCCUGGAGAACUUUUUUUUUUUUUUUUUGGUUCUUUUUUUCAGAGCUGGGGACCGAACCCAGGGCCUUGCGCUUCCUAGGCAAGCGCUCUACCACUGAGCUAAAUCCCCAACCCCCCUGGAGAACUUUUUUUUUUUUUUUUUUUUUUUUUUUUUUUGUUUCUAUGCAAGGGCUCUACCCUACUUUCCGGGAACUUGUGAAAUACACGCUUGUCGCGGCUGUUCUUGCUCCAGGUGUGGCCCCCUACAGGUCGGCUGCCGCCUUUCUCCUACCCCACCAAACACCAGAGGAUGUCCAGUGGACGCGCGGCUUCCCUCUGCUUCUACUACUUCCGACUUCGUCCUAAAGGUCAAUUCUCUGGCAAGCCUGGCAGGAUGUACAUGCUCGCCCCAACCUGCGUGAUGGACUCUGCCCGAGGACGCAACGUCCAAACCCAGAAGCCUGGGAAUUGCAGUGCCGAUGUGUUCAUCGCCCGGGAGUGGGCCUGGCAGGCUGCCUGGAGGAGAUCCUUCCACUUCCUCAGCAGAGCCCAUGACUUUAGAGCUCCUGGGGACUCUGCACGGUGCUGGGCACCAGCAGCCAGCAGCACGUUAAGGCUUCAAGGCCUAUAGCCUUUUUGCCGGUUUCUGGCAGGGAACGGUGCCCCAGCCUGCUGCGGCUAUGCUCUACCAGGUUGAGGUCUUGGGUGGAGUCAGUCUCUGAUCCCCCUAGAUUCAGUCAGAUCUACUGCAAAUAUCACAGCAGGACUUUGCCGGGGACAGGGGAGGGCAAGCCACCUGUGAUUUCCAGAACAGAGCCUUGCACUCACCUUAUGGUGAGAAAUACAUUAAGAGUAAAAGGGAAAGGAAAAAUUUGAAAGGCGGGGAGAGAUGCUGUGGUCCGAAACUUUUCAGCUCAGGAUCAGCUCUCUACAAUGUUAAGGAUCUCACUGUGUAGCCCAGGCUGGUCUCAACACUUGACGAUUCUCGGGUCACAACCUCCCAAGUGCUGGGAUGGCAGGCAUGCACCAUCAGGACGGGCCGCAGUAUGUUCCAAACACCUUGGACCACUCCCCACCGGCAGAUGCAAUGCAACCUCUGCCUCCAGCUCUUGCCGCCAUGCCUUCCCUACCGUGAUGGACUGUACCCUCAACACUGAGCCUAAGGGUGCCGGAGAGAUGUAGCUCAGUGGUAGGGAUCACUGGCUGCUCCUCCGGAGGACCUAGGUUUGAUUCCCAGCACCCACAUGGUGGCUCAUAGCCAUCUGUAAUCCCAGCUCCAAGGAAUCUCAUGAUGUAUUCAGGCGCUGGGGACACAAGAGGUGUGCGGUCAUACAUGCAAGCAAAACACACAUACAUAUAAAAUAAUAAAACAAAAAUGUAAAAAAAGUCGAGCUAAAAUGAGUCUUCUCUUC